GGAUGUGAGGGAGAUCUUGCUGCAACAUGUCAUCCCACUGACUGCCAAGGUUGAUCUGGUUAAUCUGCUUGUCUAAGUGGAUGUCCCCUUUCUCCCUCAUCUCCUAAUAUGCAUCCCUAUGAAGCUGUAUGCAUGGUUACAGAUCUUCCUCAAUGGAGAAGGACUGUUUUACCAUCAAGUUUACACAAAUAGUUCUGUCCCCAGCUAAAACUUCCAAAUAAGCUUGAAACACCCACUGAUAUUUUUAAAACUUGAAAAUUAAUGUUUCAAUGAAAUAAAUGACAAAUAAAUAGAUAAUUAUAAUUAGUUGUCAUAACUCUAUU
rfam:Cavia porcellus supercont2_8 genomic scaffold, whole genome shotgun sequence.